CCUCGUCGACACAACACACCAUCACUCGAGGAGGCUCAGGACGGUUCUUCCUAUCUCGACUCCGGCUUUGUGAACAGGAGCAAAUCGUCGUGUAUUUGAGGGGAGACAGGAAACGGAGAAGAAGGGGAAGGUUGGUUAUUUAAAGGUUACCAGACGUAGCGACACUUGGAUGUUUAAACAGACCACUCCUAUAUGAUCAUCGAACACAUGUGAAGAACAAUCCAACGCAGUAAACCUCGUGUUACCUCCGACGGUACCUACCACCUAGUCACUCUCGGUGUUACUCAUAGAAGCCGCUCUCGUAGUCACCUUCUUUCCGUCUGUUCUUGUCUCGAGUUCUCUUGGACAGGAGACUUUACUUUGUUGCUCGCUUUAGACUGUACCUGUUCGACUUGCUCGCCUUCCGUAGGCACCUAUUGCUCGCUCGGCCGCGGCUCAGCCUCGAUAGCUCUCGUGCUCGGUACCGGUUCCUCGACCUCGCGGUUUAGCUGGUCUGGUUCCGGUUCCGCUGCAGGGUCUCCAGUCUUAACGUUCGUUGCACCUGUGCCUUCUUACCGCGGCUCCUCCGUAGCCUGCGGGUCAUGCGCCUCCACAGCGUUCUCGACCUGGCGCAAUUCUCCCUCGAGGCGUUCGACUUCGACCUCCACUUCAGGCGCCGCCUCCGGUUCCGGUUCCGGCUCUCGCUGCAGCACCGCUGCCACACGUUCUAGGUCAGGUUGGACGUCCGGCGGCUGCUCUACUUUGCCGCGCACCUGCUCCGGUUGCUCCUCGUGCAGGACCACCUCGAGCGCGCGUAGCUCCGGCUCGCCCUCGCGGCGCUCGACCUCCGGGUCGUGCAGCGGCUCCGUCUCGCCAAGCGGUCCCUCUAGCUCCGGCGCUCCCGGUUCCACUUCCUCCGCGCGUCCCUCCACUCGGCGCGCUCCCUCGACCUCCGCUUCGACCUUCGCUGCUUGCGGCUGCACCUCCAGGACGUCCCGCUCUACCUCGACCACGCGCGGUACCCCUUCUUGGUGCAGGGCUUGCUACCUCGCCGCCUCCUAUGGUGCUCUGUCUUCUUUCUUCUCCCCGUCCUGUCCCGCAACGACGUCCGACGUCUCCGGCUCGACAGGUACCGCUUCUUGCUUGACCUCUCGUAGUUCCGCCCUCGCAAGGUCAAGUACUGGAGGUACCUGGCGUGGGCCUGGCUCUAGUACCCCCGGCAGGUCCUCUAGCUGGCCGAGUUCCGCGUCCUCUUUUUGCGCCUGCGCGUCCACGUCGUCGACUUGCGCUUCGAGGAGUUCCGCUCCCGGGUCUACCUCCGGCAGUGCCGGCGGCUGCUCUCCAGGUUCCGGUAGCACAGCUUGGAGUGCCGCCGCUACGUCGUCAACGUACGGCUCUGGCUCCGCCGCUCGUUCCUCCUCCUCGACUGGUACGACCUCUUUGCCACGCACGAUCGUCUCCGCCUGUUGCAGCGGCGCCUCUACCGAUGCCGGCUCCUCGCCUAGUCCGUCAGACACUUCCUCGACCUCCGCCGCUUCCGCAGGCUCCGCAGCCGUUACUUCUUCGAGUUCCGGCGGCACCUCUCGUGUUACGUCCGGUCCCGCCGCCGUCGCGGUGCCGCCGUCCCCUGAUAUUGGCAGAGCGCCAAGCUCAUGCUCAUGGACUCGCCCGCGCGCCGCGACCAGGCCCACCACCGGCUGUUCUUCCACCGGCGCCGCGUCCGCACCCACGUCCGCGAGUUCCGGUCGCUCUUCCUCCACCGCUACGCCCGGCUCCGCCGCCUCGCCCUCUACUCCCUCUACCCGGGGUCCCUCCGCGUCCACCGCAGCCUCCGCCUCUUCUGCCGCCCGCUCGUCUUCCGCGACCUCGUCCUCGACAUGCUGGACUUGCGUUGCCGCCUCUCACACCCGGACGUCACGCGCAUGGGCGCCGCCUCCAGCUCGUCCCACAGCCGCUGCAGCUUCUCCAGCUUCCCAGCCGCCAGCAGCCACAGACGCCGCUUGACCUUGGGCUUCAGCGGCAGCAAGUGGUAGUUCUCCUUCUUCUUCUACUACGGGUCGGAGGACUUCGAGUAGUUCCUCUUCUCUCCGCCGUCGCUGUUCUCGUGGUCGACUUCUCGACGAAGCGCACGCCCAGCGAGACGAAGCUCUCGUCUCACGUACGUACCGAAACUGAGGCAAAGGACGCCACAGCGGCAGACUUGGUGGUACGCCGAGCCGAGGACUAGGUGGUGCAGCCGGUCGAGGAGAGGAGGCAGCGUAGGUGGAGUUGACUGCCUGCAAAGAGGUCGUGGGAGUGGACUACGAGGCAAUCGAGGUGGUGCGGCCUCACGUCGGUGGAGUCAUCUACCAGCACAACGCCUCCGGGACUGGACGUGGGCUAACGUACCUAGAUGAGCACCGAAUCAGAAUGCCGGAUCCAAGAUUAAAUAGGAGAAAAAAUACCUAACAAAUUGUGCUUAACCAAACAAUUAGUACUUAAACACGUAGAUGUAGACCCACGGUUUAUACGAUUAAACAC
rnacentral:rRNA from 1 species